rnacentral:rRNA from 1 species
GACGAACGCUGGCGGCGUGCCUAACACAUGCAAGUCGAGCGGGGUCCAUCCGGUAGCAAUACCGGGGAAGACCUAGCGGCGAACGGGUGAGUAACACGUGAGAAGCCUGCCCCGAAGUCUGGGAUAACCCGAGGAAACUCGAGCUAAUACCGGAUGUCUUCUUCUGAUCGCAUGGUCGGAUGAAGAAAGAUUUAUCGCUUCGGGAGGGUCUCGCGGCCUAUCAGCUAGUUGGCGGGGUAACGGCCCACCAAGGCGUCGACGGGUAGCUGGUCUGAGAGGACGAUCAGCCACACUGGGACUGAGACACGGCCCAGACUCCUACGGGAGGCAGCAGUGGGGAAUAUUGCGCAAUGGGCGAAGGCCUGACGCAGCAACGCCGCGUGCGGGAUGAAGGCC